rfam:Schistosoma mattheei strain Denwood, Zambia genome assembly, scaffold: SMTD_scaffold0000268
AUUCAUCUGACGAGUCCCAAACAGGACGAAACGCGCGUCCUGGAU